rnacentral:rRNA from 1 species
AGAGUUUGAUCAUGGCUCAGGAUGAACGCUAGCUACAGGCUUAACACAUGCAAGUCGAGCGGAAUGCCUUCGGGCAUUUAGCGGCAGACGGGUGAGUAACACGUAUCCAACCUUUCCCUUACUCGGGUAUAGCCUCGGGAAACUGAGAGUAAUCCCCGAUGCAGUGUACGAACAGCAUUAUUUGCACACUAAAGAUUCAUCGGUAAGGGGUGGGGAUGCGUUCCAUUAGGUAGUAGGCGGGGCAACGGCCCACCUAGCCGAUGAUGGAUAGGGGUUCUGAGAGGAAGGUCCCCCACAUUGGAACUGCGACACGGUCCAAACUCCUACGGGAGGCAGCAGUGAGGAAUAUUGGUCAAUGGUCGGAAGACUGAACCAGCCAAGUAGCGUGCAGGAAUGACGGCCCUAUGGGUUGUAAACUGCUUUUGUGCGGGAAUAACGUGCUCCACGUGUGGGGCAGUGCAUGUACCGUACGAAUAAGGAUCGGCUAACUCCGUGCCAGCCGCCGC